UUCCGUAUCUUGAACAUCCAAGCAUCAACUAAUUCGAAAAUCGUCUGACGCGCGAUACUCAUAGGCUUAUUGUGACGAACUACAGCUAAUUGUAGCAAAUCUUAUUUGGUUGUAUGGGAGUUGUCGAAGCACACAAGACAAGCCUCCGGUGAAUAUCAAUAAGGAGAGACAGCGCUAGGGGUAAUGCCCCCCCCUAACGCCAAUUCAAUAGUCAGGAAAUAUUAGGACUGGCUAGAACUAGAGAACGCGUGAAGGGGGUGCAACUGAAGUUAAUUCAUAAGAGAAUCCUGGAGCACCUCUGUCAUACGCGUCGGGUGGUCAUCGUGGAGUUUUAGUCGGUAAGAGUCCGACACUACUCUGCUGUUACGCAAUUACUGCAACAGCGGAGUGUCCAUGAGGAUUUCUCCACGUAAAAAAAAAAAAAAAAAAAAAAGUUACUCUGGCUUAUCAAUAUGCCCUGUUCAAUGUUGGCCAAGCUGAAUAAUGUCACAGGCCUCUAUCUUCCUUAAUAAGAGCUGUAGGGGAUCGAAUAAUGAGACUACCAAUAUGUGUACUCGUUAGUGUAUUUAAAACAGAUCUUGUCGCGAAACGAUAUCUAUACAGACGUUUAGUCACAGUUUAUACUGAAUCGUUUGCGAUCACGUUCGUUUAGUCAUAAUCGUCAGAAGAAGGUCAAAAGAUACAAAUUCGUCUUGUUUUACGGUUACACGUAGCGGCACCAUUGUUUUCCCCGGAGUUUAUAAUUCCUUACAAUACCUCUGACCUAACGGUCUUGAUACUCCGAAGCUAAACAACAACAUGGUUUGAAGCAAAUUCCAACUCUUGUGCCGCUACAUCACUCCCCUACCAGUGAUAACGUUUUAUUGCCUUUGCAGAGAAAGUCCCCGUGGGUAAUCUUUUUGUGAUGCCUAGCCGAAACCAGCCUGUAACCAAUCAGGAAAACGGACUCUUCGGCCUGACCGUGUAACAUACCUAUUACUAGUGUUUCCUUCGUUGUCGCUCUUCACGUCGCUUUCAUUGCGAGCGUUCAUUCGUU